UACAGAGGGGGCAAGCGUUGUUCGGAAUUACUGGGCGUAAAGGGCGCGUAGGCGGCCCGCUAAGUCGAACGUGAAAUCCCCGAGCUCAACUCGGGAACUGCGUCCGAUACUGGCGGGCUUGAAUCCGGGAGAGGGAUGCGGAAUUCCAGGUGUAGCGGUGAAAUGCGUAGAUAUCUGGAGGAACACCGGUGGCGAAGGCGGCAUCCUGGACCGGCAUUGACGCUGAGGCGCGAAAAGCUAGGGGGAGCAAACGGG
rnacentral:rRNA from 1 species